UACGUAGGGUGCGAGCGUUAAUCGGAAUUACUGGGCGUAAAGUGUGCGCAGGCGGCUUCGCAAGUCGAGUGUGAAAUCCCCGAGCUUAACUUGGGAAUUGCGCUCGAAACUACGGAGCUGGAGUGUGGCAGAGGAAGGUGGAAUUCCACGUGUAGCGGUGAAAUGCGUAGAGAUGUGGAGGAACACCAGUAGCGAAGGCAGCUCGCUGGGACGGUACUGACGCUAAGGCGCGAAAGCGUGGGGAGCGAACAGG
rnacentral:rRNA from 1 species